rnacentral:rRNA from 1 species
CCUACGGGGGGCAGCAGUAGGGAAUCUUCGGCAAUGGAGGAAACUCUGACGCAGCAACGCCGCGUGAGUGAUGAAGGUUUUCGGAUUGUAAACUCCUUUUGUUAGAGAAGAUAGUGACGGUAUCUAACGAAUAAGCACCGGCUAACUCCGUGCCAGCAGCCGCGGUAAUACGGAGGGUGCAAGCGUUACUCGGAAUCGCUGGGCGUAAAGAGCGCGUAGGCGGGAUAGCAAGUCAGAUGUGAAAUGCUAUGGCUUAACCAUAGAAACGCAUUUGAAACUGUUAUUCUAGAGUAUGGGAGAGGUAGGUGGAAUUCCUGGUGUAGCGGUAAAAUCCGUAGAGAUAAAGAGGAAUACUCAUUGCGAAGGCGACCCGCUAGAAUAUAACUGACGCUGAUGCGCGAAAGCGUGGGGAGCAAACAGGAUUAGAUACCCGGGUAGUC